AUUAAGAGACAGAGCAUUUCCCUUUGGGACUUACUCAUGUCCACCCACACUAUGUGAACCGUUCCUGUCCCUGGCAGUUUUGCCUUUCGCUCAACUGUUCUAGCUUUCGGGCUAGGGCACUCCUCUUACCUCCUAAAAUGGGUAAUAAGGGGUUGAGCUGGAAGGGGCUGCCGAUGGGCUUUUGCUCAUCACUCUUUUAAACUCUGCUAUAUAACUGUAAAUGUCUGAACAUCUUUUCAUAUUUUAAAUGUGAAAA
rnacentral:misc_RNA from 1 species